rnacentral:lncRNA from 1 species
AACCCUAGUGCAUCAAAUCUCUGUGAGGCUAGGUACUUCCCCUUCCACUGAAGCCAGACAAGGCAGCCCAGCUAGGAGAACCCGUCCCACAGACAGGCAGCAGCUUUAGGGACAGGACAGCCCCUGCUCUAGUUGCUUGGGACCCACUUGAAGACUGAGCUGCACAUCUGCUACAUAUUUUUUUGUUUUUUUAAGUCACAGUAUCUCUUUGUAGCUCUGACCAUCCUGGAACUCAGAAGGAUUGUAGGAGAUGGUUACUGGGAGGGGAUCAGCAAUUGGGAUAUAAAGUGAAUAAAUAAAAAGUAAAUG